UCCAAGUCUUUUAUGGUGGCUCCCUGAGAAUCAACAGUAGCCUGGAGUGUGAAUAGGGUAGCUUUCAGUUCAGUUUUUAUUGAAGACAUCUCAGACCUUACUGUUUGGGUAACAGUAUCAAUCUUGGCGUCGAGUUUAUCACAGAUAUCUUGUCUCAGACUCUCGAGCGCCCUGAUAAAUACCGAUUCACUUAGAGAUGCAGGGCUUUCAGGUCAACAGGUUACAACUGCCAGCCCAGCCCAGAUUUAUGGCUGUGCAAGAGAGAGAGAGGUCUUUUGUGCUCAUCAUGGCAAAACAAACCUCUUGUCACUGUUAUUUACACCCCCCCCCCCCACACACACACACACACACACACACUUAGCAUUUGGUUGUACUGAUUUUGUCUAUAUAUUUUAUUAAAGGGUGGUUGCAGAAGGCUGCUGAGCUGAAGGAGGACACCAGCGUGCUUUUGUACAUUAAAGAAAAAGACUGUGUGGCCCUGGAGGUGCAGUACCACAGGACCUGUUACGCACAGUACACAAAGUUUUUGUCAAGGCCUAUGGAAACAAGUACUGCAACCCCAGAUAAAGCGUGAGUUAUUACAAUGCAUUAACAUUUUAUUACACAUUGUACAUUUCAAAAUGAGGCACUGACAAACAACAUAGUCUUUAGUUUAACUGUAGUUCCAAAAACCUAUUUGAUAAUUUUAUUCAGGAAAAAAUUGACGGAAUAGACAAGCUUAGAUCAUCUUGAUUGGAUUAUGUAAAUAUGACAUGGCUGCAACAGUUUACACAUGGUUUGUGUGUGUGUGUGUGCGUGUGUUUUUCAGAAGUGUAACACCCUUCACUGACAGCUACAAUUUCUUCUGUGAGACUGUCAUCCAUCAAAGGAUUAUAGUUGACCACGAAGUGCUGCGAAUGGACAAGCUACGAAAGACAUUCAUGGACAUAGUGAAGAAUCAAGAGGGUCUUGAUGCUUCAGAAUACAGGCAGGAUCUACUGAAGAGGCGGCUGACACGUGACUUCCCGCAGCUCACUUUCCACUGCCCUGCCAAGAGAAAUAUCAGUGAACUUGUUUUUGUUGAGAGACUGUCAGCUGAUAGACUAUUACAAAAGAUACCUCCACAGUCAGGUACAUCUACUGAGUCCACUGAGGUAAGCAAAGCUGAAAGCCAAACUGAAAGUGACAGUGAACACAUGGCUAGCACAACAUCUGGACAGAAUACUACUGAUGUCACAAGGACACUGUACAGUGCAGGCUUGAUCUUAAAGAGGGUUUUCAGUGACUCUCCUGGUAUGACAUGCCCCUGGCCUCCCACUGCUGACAAUUUAAAUGUGUCUGAUGCUCAAUCUGUUGUGCCAGAAGAACUAUAUAAUCUAAUUGCAUGGAUUAUAGGGGCAUCAGAAGAGGCAACAGGAGUGGGUUAUGUCGAUAUUCCAGAUGAUGUUAGGCUAAAAGUUCUAUGUGUUUGUCAAGACAUUGUUUUCCUUGCAUCUAAAGGUUGAAAGCAGACACCAAAGUCAUUGUGCCUUGGGCUAACUGUACGCCAUUUAACAGGAUCAUCUGAUCUUUUGUCAUUGCUGAGUAGACUAGGACAUUGUACUUCAUGGAACACAGUACUUAGUCUAGACACUAGCCUAGCUGAACUACAACUGCUAGAAAAUAGAGACAAAAUCCUAAAGGGUUUCUCAAAGAAGGUGCCUACAAUACUGGUGUGGGACAACAUUGAUUUUGGGGAGGAGACACUGUCUGGUGGUGGAACCACUCAUCAUACAAAUGGCAUUAUGCUCCAAAGUUCUGUCACUGAAACUGGAUCAGAUCAGACAGACCGCCACUACAGAAGGCAGUUUACACAUUCAAAGCACCUCCUAGCAUCCCUGUAGAACACUACCAACAGAUUUAUGUCAGUGCCAAGCAUGCGAGAAUGUUUCAAAAGAAACAGAGGCCAGAGCUGUAUGGGAUGAUGACUUUGAUGAAAGUGAUAUUGAUGAGUAAUAUAUGCACCAUGUCACCAUGUACAGUUUUUCUUUUUCUUUCUUUCUUUAUUUUCUAUAUUUGUAUGUGUAUUAAUCGAUAUUUUCAUAUUCAGAGACACUGUCGUAUUUGAAUAAAUGUUUUAUACCAUA